AAGUCGUAACAAGGUCUCCGUUGGUGAACCAGCGGAGGGAUCAUUACAGAGUUGCAAAACUCCCAACCAUUGUGAACCUACCUCACCGUUGCUUCGGCGGGUGGCCCUCGCCAGGGCCGCGCCGGCCUCCGUGCCGGCAACCCGUCAGAGGACCGAAACUCUUCGUUUAUUUACUGGCCUCUCUGAGUAACUUAUACAAUAAGUCAAAACUUUCAACAACGGAUCUCUUGGUUCUG
rnacentral:misc_RNA from 1 species